rnacentral:lncRNA from 1 species
UUUCUUCUAUUCUUCUCUCUAUACGUUGGUGUUCUAACCAAUAAUCACCAAAGCGAUGUUCUGUCCGAUCGAUUCAGGAACCAUCUAACGAAUGCCGAAGUGUUCUGCUUUGUGAAUUUCGUUAAACGGAAUCCAAAGUACUAUACUUUGUGAGUUCAUUAAAUGGAUACCAAAGUACUGUCUGAAUAAGACUACACUUUGUGGAAUUCGUUAAGGUUCGAAUCUCGUGACUACCGUUAAGGUUUGAUUUGGGUUUUACACAAAUACGUAUUCCAUUCUGUUAAACUAUAUGUUUAACUACCGAAAAAUACUCCCAACUACACACUCACAAUCAAACAAACUAUUAAAUCAUCAGAAGAUCCAGAAUAAUAAAGUGCAUGCUUAAUUAUCGGAAGAAGUAGAAUCAAGAAGCUUGUUUACUCAAUCUUGCAUGCUUAUAAAGUAAUUAUAGUAGAUUGGAGUAAGGAUUGAAUCCAGCACU